rnacentral:lncRNA from 1 species
GUAUGCUCUGAAUCUGUGUCCAAUACAUGGUGCAGUUUCUCCCAUAGCCAGGAUUCACGGGUCCAGGAAUCAAGAGGUGGAAGUGGAAGUGGCACCAUUCAUCAUUAUCCCUAGUGACCCCCUAGCAACAUUUUUACUUCCUGUUCCCGCGACAUUAUGUUCUGCUGGCCUAGAGGUCUCAGUUCCAGAGGGAGGAAUGUGCCACCAGGAGACACAGCAACAAUGCCAUUGAGUUAAGAUUGCCACCUGGACACUUUGGGCUCCUCCUACCUUUAAGGCAACAGACUAAGAAGGGAGUUACAGUGUUGGCUAAGGUGACUGACUCAGACUAUCAAGAUGAAAUCAGUCGACUACUCCACGAUGCAGCUGGGUCAGAGGUUCAUUGUGAUGACUCAGGCUACGCAAGGGCCGUGGAAUGGACGUGCAGCUGUACUUCUAAAUUCCAAUGGGACAUCAGACUGGGGAGGAUUAUGACCGGGAAAUUCAUACCCAACUGGAGCCAAGACUCUAGGCACUGAUGCCAGACAAAGAACUCGUGGUGGAAUCUUGACUUUUCAAUUCAUUUCAUCUAUAAAUUCUAUUUAACUUAACAUGC